AUACGGAGGAUCCGAGCGUUAUCCGGAUUUAUUGGGUUUAAAGGGUGCGCAGGCGGCCAUUUAAGUCAGCGGUUAAAUCGUGGGGCUCAACCCCAUUCUGCCGUUGAUACUGGGUGGCUUGAUUGCGGUCGAGGUUGGCGGAAUUCGUUGUGUAGCGGGGAAAUGCAUAGAUAUGACGAAGAACACCGAUUGCGUAGGCAGCUGACCAGACCGCAAAUGACGCUCAUGCACGAAAGUGCGGGGAUCGAACAGGAUUAGAUACCCUGGUAGUCCGCACAGUAAACGAUGAAUACUUGUUUUCGGCGAUAUAAUGUCGGAGGCAAAGCGAAAGCGAUAAGUAUUCCACCUGGGGAGUACGCCGGCAACGGUGAAACUCAAAUGAAUCGGCGGGG
rnacentral:rRNA from 1 species